UGACCUCAAAUCAGGUAGGACUACCCGCUGAACUUAAGCAUAUCAAUAAGCGGAGGAAAAGAAACUAACAAGGAUUCCCCUAGUAACUGCGAGUGAAGCGGGAAAAGCUCAAAUUUAAAAUCUGGCAGUCUUUUGGCUGUCCGAGUUGUAAUCUAGAGAAGUGUUAUCCGCGCUGGACCGUGUAAAAGUCUCCUGGAAUGGAGCAUCAUAGAGGGUGAGAAUCCCGUCUUUGACAUGGACUGCCAGGGCUUUGUGAUGCGCUCUCAAAGAGUCGAGUUGUUUGGGAAUGCAGCUCAAAAUGGGUGGUAAAUUCCAUCUAAAGCUAAAUAUUGGCGAGAGACCGAUAGCGAACAAGUACCGUGAGGGAAAGAUGAAAAGAACUUUGGAAAGAGAGUUAAACAGUACGUGAAAUUGCUGAAAGGGAAACGCUUGAAGUCAGUCACGUCGUCCAGGGAUCAACCUUGCUUUUGCUUGGUGCACUUUCUGGUUUGACGGGUCAGCAUCAAUUUUGACUAUUGGAAAAAGGUUAAGGGAAUGUGGCAUCUUUGGAUGUGUUUAUAGCCCUUGGUUGCAUACAAUGGUUGGGAUUGAGGAACUCAGCACGCCGCAAGGCCGGGUUUUAUACCACGUACGUGCUUAGGAUG
rnacentral:rRNA from 1 species